GGAUGUGAGGGCGAUCUGGCUUUGACAUCUGUCACCCCAUUGAUCGCCAGGGUUGAUUCGGCUGAUCUGGCUGGCUAGGCGGGUGUCCCCUUCCUCCCUCACCGCUCCAUGUGCGUCCCUCCUGAAGCUGCACACUCAGUCAAAGAGGAUGGCCUUCCCCGAAUAGAGAUGGACCGGUCUUCAGUUGAGGGUAUAUGAGUAGUUGUGCUCCCCUGCUAGAACCUCCAAACAAGCUCUCAAAAUAUGUGUUUAUUCUCAAGAGGGAUACUUCCUAAUUGAACCAAUAUUUCUCAAAGUUCCUU
rnacentral:snRNA from 1 species